GCUCAGCACCAGCAGCGGCCGGGCGGGAAGCCGCAGCAGUCUCGCUUGGGACCCGCGCCCAGGCGGCGGCGAAGAGGGAGAAGCGAGGACUUGACCCGGAGGGUACAAAGAAUCAAAAUAACCAGCUUUGGGGGGAAACGAUUAACCUGAGGAUAAUUUAUGAAUGAAGACCCACAGCAUGUUCAGAAGUUCCAGCAAAGUUGCAAUGGACACUCAAGUCACUAAGCUGGACUUUGUAACUUUUGGUUGUUUGCAAUGAUGUGCCUUUAAACUUUAUAUCACAAUCCAUGCCCUUCAUACUACAUAAAUUAUAAAAUAAUACAAUCGAAGCAACAUGUCAAAAAACUUGGAGAUUAUCAAUUUGUCAUUUUUACUGGAACAUGAGAGGGAAAUGAUACUGGGAGUGCUGAAGAGAGACGAGUAUUUGAAAAAAAUUGAAGAUAAAAGAAUCAGAAAACUGAAGAAUGAGUUACUGGAAGCCAAAAAGAAAGGUGGACGGCGGUACCAGGAAGACGACAGCAGGGUCUGCAUUCGGUGUCGAAAGAAUUUGGGCUUAAUCUUUGAUAGAGGGGAUCUCUGCCAAGCAUGCGGACUCAGAGUUUGCAACAAAUGUCGUAUUGUGGGAAUUGGUGGCAACUGGAAAUGCACAGUGUGCGAUAAGAUUGCGCAGCUUAGGAUAGUUACAGGUGAAUGGUUUUUCGAAGAGAGAGCAAAGCGCUUCAAACAAUCCACCCUCCUUGGAAGUGAUGUCGUUAGAAGGUCUAUCCAACGCAAAGCCCCAGAUCCUUCCUCUGAAGCUACAGGAGGAAAAGUCAAAGAUCAGUCUCCAGAGAGUUCAGAGGAGACUUCAAAGCAAGAUGUGCUUGCUUCCUUUUCAAGUGGGGCAAAGUCAGUCUUCAGUGGGCACAGAAAUAUUGGAGCUUUAUUCAAGGCUAAAGGAGAAAUCACACUUGUGAAGGCAGAAGAUGGAAGAAGCAUCAGCUCAGAUGUUGAUGUCCAGAGUAUAAAUAGUGCUGAUAGGGUGAGCACCUGUUCUCUCAAUAUGGAGGAACUGCCUGCUGGGCUGAAAGGAGCAGUUUGUGCCGCAAACCGAAGCAAUUCUUCUACUCCAGUCCAUCCAAGGUCACCAGCACUGAGCACACGCAGCAUGACUGUAGAUUAUGGCAGAGAUCCUGGAUUAGAAAAAGGCACUGCUCUGCCUGCAAGUGAAAGUAUACCAGCAGAUCUAGCGAAAAAGCAUCGCAGGAAAGCAUCUGGAACACCCUCUAUAGCUGUUUCUAGGACAUCUUUGUCAUCUGAUCGCAGCAGAUCAGAGAGAGAUCUCAGUGUAUCCUUCUCUGAAGGCAAUGAGGAUACUUUAAGCUUAAGAAGUAAAUCUGUACCUGAAGCAUUGGACCAGGAGCUGAGUUACCUGGAUGAGACAGAGGAAGAUAUUGAUGACAUUGUGGCCUCUGGCUACUCAAAGAGACAUACCAAUAUGAUCAGUGGAUUAUCAACAAAUUCUCCUUCAAGUUCUGACAGGAAAUGGACCUAUUUAAAUGUUCCAGAAGCAGAUGGUGACACUACCAGCAUCAAUAGUAUGACAAGUGUGUAUAGUGAAACAGGGGACUAUGGCAACGUGAAGAUCAGUGGUGAAAUUUGUCUCCAAAUUAACUACAGCUAUAAAACAGGAGCCCUCAACAUCUUGGUAAAAAAAUGCAGGAACUUGGCUAUAGCAGAUGAAAAGAAGCAGAAAACAGAUCCCUAUGUCAAAGCAUACUUAUUGCCGGACAAGUCUCGUCAAAGCAAACGGAAGACAAAAAUUAAAAGCAAUAGCACUAACCCUGAGUUCAAUGAAACACUGAAGUAUGUCAUCAGCCAUACACAGCUUGAGACUCGGACCUUGCAGCUUUCUGUCUGGCAUUAUGACAGAUUUGGGCAUAACAGCUUUCUAGGAGAAGUGGAGAUACCCUUGGACUCCUGGAACUUUGAACAUCAAGCUGAUGAAUGGUUCAUGCUUCAGCCCAAGAUGGAAGUUGUAGCUGAUACAGGUCUUCAGUACAAAGGAGAGUUGAUAGUUGUCUUACGGUACAUCCCCCCUGAAAGGAAUUUAACACUUCCCCUAGGAGAAAUUCAAGGAAAGAAGAACUCCAAGAAGGAAAAGAAGGCAAAUCCACAACUGCCGCCAGGAGGCAUAUUAGAAGUUGUCAUCAAGGAAGCCAAGAACUUAACAGCUGUGAAGUCAGGAGGCACUUCUGACACGUUUGUGAAAGGGUACCUGCUUCCUGACAACAACAAGGCAUCUAAGCACAAAACCCAAGUAAUAAAAAAGACCGUGAACCCCCACUGGAACCAUACUUUCACUUUUAGUGGCUUGAAUCCUAGAGAUAUACAGAACGUCUGCGUAGAACUCACUGUCUGGGACAAAGAGUCCCUUGCCAGUAAUAUCUUCCUAGGAGGCGUUCGCCUGAGUCGUGGAGGAGGUUUCAGUAACGGCAAAGAAGUUGACUGGAUGGAUUCUCAAGGGGAGGAACAACUUCUCUGGCAAAGAAUGAUUGAUUGUCCUGGGGAUUCUGUGGAAGGUGUAUUAAUGCUGAGAUCUAGCAUGGGAAAGCGCAGACUCUGAGAGGGGCUAUGCGUAGGCACAGAAAUAACUCCAGGUAUUUCGCUUGUACAAUUAAUUACAGGGUGGUAUGAUGAAAGCCAACCUGCCAUGGAGCAGCUCCUGGUGUAAUUUGCACAUGUAAAAUAGAGAAAACAAGGACUUUCGGUCAACUUGGACUUUCAACUCUCUUGAAACGGAUUAUAAAUGCAUUCAGCACUUUCCUGCGAUUCUUAUCAUUGUGUUUCCUACUGUGACUGAGUGGAUGGAUUAAGUUCUUUUAAAAUUUUCUACAAAACCCUAGUUCAAGCAGCUCCUGUAGAUUGCUAUUAUUUCAAGACAUGGUUGCUUUUUCACAGGAGAAAUGUGAUUAAUAAAUAGGCCCAAAAGUGCUUUGUGAUACUGUUUAGGCCAGCCAAUUCAGUCCAAGCCCAUUUCAAGUAAGUGUAAUGGUUGGAAGAUGCAAAGGGGAUGGGUGACAGAUUGCAGACAAGCUGCAACAAUAAUUAGUUCCAUCUACUUUCCCUUCCAAGUUCUGCAUGUUCAUAUUCUUGAAUGGUUCCCAGAAGUGGCUUUGGUAAUAAGCAGUUAAGGAAUCCCUACUUCCUCACUCAGAAGCAGAAUGGCUAUUUGGGGGUGGGGGGUGGUGGUUUAGAGACCAGGAGAAUUUGCUGACAUAAACAUUUCAAGAGUCCUCACAAAUCUCAGCGGUUGUGCCCCCCCCUUUAGACAUUUGUUUGGCAUGUUCCAACCAGGACACUCAUAACAAUUGGACAGAAGAAGCAGUUGCCAUUAAGGGUCGCAUCCAGUGCUGCUAUUCUGCUAGCGCAGCAGGCCUCCACUUACGCAAUGUAACUUUGCCUCCCCCUACAGUAUAAAAAUCUGCUCCAGGGAGUUGGAGGAUUCUACAGAGUAGAUUUUGAGGGGGUGUGGGGAGAGGAGAGGAAGUCUCAUUGUGCUGGCGAAACUGGAUACCACCCUACCUUUCUAUGUAUAACCAAGUUAAUUCUUCCCAGGACUUUGACACCUUCAGAGAAGAAUAAUUAAUGAACAUUCCUAAGUUAGUUGAAAGCUAUCAAGCUGAUAAUCAAAUCUGUGCCCUAAAACAGGGUUGUUAGUGCCUACUAAACUUUUAAAAAAUAGCCUCUACCAAGUAACUGCACUGCACUAAGAUUUAAGCUGUUUGCUGCUAAUAUAUUUAACUUAAACCUCCUUCCCUGUUGUAAGGAAUUGAAUGAUCAAUUAUUCCCCUUUACCCCAAACCCCCUUUAAGCACUUGAAAACUGUAAUAUUAAUAUCCAAAACCCCCCUCAUCCCUUUCCUUAAGUUGUACAUACCUACUUCUUUCAGCUUUUUGUUUUUGUAUUGUAUUUGUUUUCUAUCUAAGUCAGGGGUGGCUAGGCUAACCUGAGAUCCUCCAGUCAGCUGUAACCCAACUCAUGUCAUUCUUGACUACUGGCCGUGCUGGCUGGGGAUGAUGGGAAUUGAAGUCCAAACAUCUGGAAGGUCAUACGUUAGCCACGCCUGAUACAGGCCUUAAAGUACAUUAGUCAGAGUAGGAUGUGAAGCAGAUUUGAAGUAUAGCCGUGACUGUAUCUUUCUUCUUCUUUCAUAAAGCUCUGGUUCAGUCCAAAGAUGAGGCACUUGUGGUGCAUUAAUCCUGCUGUGAACCGUUCAACACCCAACUCCUCAGUCACUGGAACUCAAAUGGCACAGUCACUGCUCCUGCUGAGUAGCUUCAGGCAGUACAUUGCGCUGAAGAAUUCAAAGGGAGCAAUGCUGUGCCUUUUCCAUUUUAAUUUGGCUGAAGGAGAAUAGGAGCAUUCAAUUUGAAGAACUGCAUUGGAAGUGCACUUUGACUUGUAGUCUACUUUGGUUUGCUUUCUUUUGAAGAUACUGUGAAUGCUGUGCCACUAAAGCAAAUAGCAGAGCAGUGAGCAAUAGGAUCUUCACACUGUCGGGAGGCCCCAACUGCUGGAUUAGUUAUUGGUGGUGCAGAAGCAACCAAGGUAGUUGUGAACCAUACUUCUGGCAGGGAGGAUGGCUCUCAAAUGGUGUCCAUGGCAGGACAACCAUUUCAAAUAAACAUGGGCUCUUGGGUGAGGGCCAUAUGUCUCUGUGGCUCUUGCCUGAUGCACUGCCCAAGUCAUUAUUUAUAUCACUAAAGCGAAAGCUGAGCCCUGAAGUCCAAGUACUGUCAUCUGAGAGUUAGGAUUCAUUCACCUUGGUGGAAUUUAUGAACAUAGGAAGCGCUCUUAAGAGUGAGACCACUGGUCCAUCUAGCUCUCUGCUGAUAACUCUACCCAGCAGCAGUUCUCCAGGGUCUUAGAAGGACCAUCUUUCCCACAGUAAAACAAUAAUAAUUAUGUUUAGAAAUGUGAGAGACCUUUUGCAUAUACUCAAAUACUGACUUAUGGGGACACACACAUGGUAAAUUUCUGUUUACCAAGACUUUUAGUUACACAUUCUUAACAAAAUCAAGCUCCCACUUAUUUGUUGUUUUUAAAAAACCAACACUGGCUUUUGCACCAAAAGAAGUACUGUACUCCAACUAGAUGUGCAUAGACUUCAAGCACACUUUCAGCAUGAGAUCUGGCUGUAGCUUCUUAGCAGCGUUACAGUAAGCCCACUUGAUCCUUAACCAGUCCAGUGACUUCAGCAAGGCACUGCAUCUGCUCUCACUGCUCUUUAAGGUGGUCACCACCAAGGUGGCAAGUACCCAAGAACAACUAUAGAAAUAGAAAUCAGGUCUAUUUUUGACACUGUUAUAUUAUAGUUGCUAUCUUUUAAUGCAUAAUUGCUGUAUCAAGCUUUGAAAAUAAUGUUUUGAAAAUACUUUGUUUUAAAACACCAGCAAAAUUAACAGCACGAAAAAUAAAAUAGAAAUGCAUACUGGUAUUGGUAACAAUACUGUUCUAGCGCAGGUAUCUGAACUUUUUCAGAGCCAGGACCUACUUUUAACCCAAACAUACAUUUCAGGACCCAUUUCUAAAUAUUUUACGAUAUAUUGGCAUGGUGGUAGUGCUCUACUUUUAAAUUAAAGGGUGUGGGUCUUUUAGUGAAAGGCCUCCCCCCCCAAUUCUUUAUGGAUUUCUUAAAUUCACAUAGUGAAUAAGGCUCUCUCUCAUUUAAAUGAACAGACUGGACAAAUGUUCCUGGGAAGUGAUUACUUAUAAUAUGCAGGUCUCCCAUGGCUCAUUAUGAUAUAAUUUUUUGCAUUUCAGUAACUAAAGUUAAAAAAAAAAUCCUUGGGCUUUGUGGCAUGGGAUACAUACACAGAGGAAUAUUUUUUAAAAAUAUAUUAAAAAUGGCUGAAACGCAGCAUGUGAAUCAGACCUCAUUCAAGACAUGUCCUAGUGGGUGAACAGAUGAGGCAGAGCAGUGAUUCAGAAGAAGCACAACAGGUCCAUUUCUGUGUUCAAAAAUCACUUUUCCCAUUUGAAAACUGCAGUCAUUGCCAUAAAAUGGUAUUGAUACUAGGUGAAACUGGAUACUGUAAAUACCAACAGCAACCCAAAAGGCUAGGUUUGUGGCUGGUGCAUGAAUGACUAAAUGAAGUGUGGCGAUCUGUUUUCUAUUUAACCAUUUUGUAUCCCACAGGGUAGAGAUGAAUUCAGUAGAGCAGGUAUGGUGGCAGCUUUCAAACUUUUCCUGUCUCUUCAUAUUGCCACGCAACCAGAUCAUAGAAUCUCAUAAAAGUAUUGUUACAAUUUCUUUCUUUCUCUUUUUUACAUUUAACUACACCAGUUUUGUAAUUUUCCAGCUUAUAGAUAGAUAUUAACUGCAUUUUAAAGACCCAAAGUCAGAAAGUACAAAAAAAGACCAGACUUCCACUUUUCAAAUAUGAGAACCUCCCCAAAUCCACAAAUUUCAUCUGUCUUAACACCACCCAAAAAAAGGUCUAUUUAGUUGAGACACACAGUUUGUUUACUAAACACAGGUCUCGCACUCUGCCUUGUUUCACAUGCGCCUACUGGGUUUUCUGGCAAUGGUGUGGAUACUUGCAUAUAAAAAUAGUAGAUCCUCUAAAAAAAUCAGGAUCGGGGGUAGCUAAUCUGUGGUCUUCCUGAUGCUGCUGGACACCAGCUCCUCCCCAUCUCUAUCACCCAUUCUGGCUGCAGCUCAUAGGAGUCCAACAGACUCUGAAGUGCCGAAUGGUGGUCUCCCCUUGCUCUAAGUGAAGAUGUUUCUUCUGUAACUUUACCAGACGAUGCUGUUCAGUCUGCACCAAAAGUCCAUGGGGAUACUGCCUUCUGACUGGCACAAGUAAUGUGCUCUCUAGCACACCAUGGAAUAACCACCUCAUACCGUCAGGCUCCAACUUUUAAGAAGACAAUGGGGUGGAUUCAUUCCCCUGCUUGAAUCUUAAGAGAUUGACUAGCACAACUCAACUGUGGCAAUAAAUUAUGCUAACUGCUUGCUUUAACUACUGUCCUGCAGAAUUUUAUCCUGCUAGUCUUCAGAUGGCUUUGGCAGCGUGUUAAAAACAUCCAUGUAAGUCUCCUUGAUUGCCAGUUUCCUGCUCACUGUGAGGAAGAUUUUCAAGUUUGUUUUCAUCACAGCUGUGUGCAUUCUUCUGCUUUGAAGUCUUUCGUUUAAAAAAAGAAAACUAAAACACACAUAGAAAAACAAAACCCACAUACAAUUAUUAACUAUUUUGAAAACUAUUGAGUAUGUUUGACAAUUUUUUAAGGCAGAAAAAGGAGUCUGCAUGCACAACUUUUUACUUAUCUGGACAUAAUAUGAAACAAAAUGUUUAUAUCUAGAGAGAUGAUUGCAAGUUUGACUCAAAUAUCUGCAUCUUGAUCAAUGUUUUUUCAGAAUUUAAGUUCCACUGAGUUAAGCAGGGCUUACUUCCAAGUAAGUCUUGCAGAAAGCAUAAUACAGUACUGCAAUCUUAAACCAGUUAACUGUGCUAGGACUAUUGCCAAUAGAAGCAGGAUGAAGAAGAAACAUUCCUAAUGAAUUAUUGUAACACAAACAACAAAGCAUUAUGCAACUAUGAUAAUUGAUAACAGAUGUUUGUUUACAACAUCCAAGUAGACUGCAAAAGAUUAUGCUCAAAAAUAAAUGGGGAUAUGUCAACAGAAA